AGCAAAAGACCAAUCACGAAUCACCUUCAAGACUUCAUAGCCACGCCCUAGCAACCAUUUAGAGCACCCUAGCAACCCAAAGCACAUAGGGAUAUCUUCAAAUCUGAAUGUCAUAAAGCCAUAAGGGUUGGUUUAUAUCAUUCAUACUGGCAACCAGCCUUUGGAGUAUCAUCACUGGCAGCUGUCAGGCCACUCCCUAGCAACCAAACAGAGUACCCUAGCAACCGUUUUUCAAGAUCUAUAUCUCUGCAUCAGAACAUCGUACAGACAUGGAGGUUGGUUUACAUUGGCAAGCAGCCUUUGGAGUAUCAUCACUGGCAGCUGUCAGGCCACUCCCUAGCAACCAAACACAGUACCCUAGCAACC
ensembl:lncRNA